rnacentral:rRNA from 1 species
UACGUAGGUGGCAAGCGUUGUCCGGAUUUACUGGGCGUAAAGGGCGUGCAGGCGGUUUGUUAAGUGCAGGGUGAAAGCUCCCGGCUCAACUGGGAGAGGUCCUUGCAUACUGGCAAACUCGAGGGAGGCAGAGGAAAGUGGAAUUCCAGGUGUAGCGGUGAAAUGCGUAGAUAUCUGGAGGAACACCGGUGGCGAAGGCGGCAUCCUGGACCAACACUGACGCUGAGGUGCGAAAGCGUGGGGAGCAAACAGG